rnacentral:rRNA from 1 species
AAUGAACGUUGGCGGCGUGGAUUAGGCAUGCAAGUCGAGCGAGAAGUUCCCCUUCGGGGGAGUGGAAAGCGGCGAAAGGGAGAGUAACGCGUGGAUACCUACCCCCUGGUCUGGGAUAGCUGCGGGAAACUGCAGGUAAUACCGAAUAAAGUCUGCGGACCAAAGGUGUGAUUCCGCCGAGGGAGGGGUCCGCGUCCUACUAGCUUGUUGGUGGGGUAAAAGCCUACCAAGGCAAUGAUGGGUACCGGGCGUGAGAGCGUGGCCCGGCUCACUGGGACUGAGACACUGCCCAGACACCUACGGGUGGCUGCAGUCGAGAAUCUUCGGCAAUGGGCGCAAGCCCGACCGAGCGACGCCGCGUGCGGGAUGAAGGCCUUCGGGUUGUAAACCGCUGUCAGAGGGGAUGAAAUGCCAGAGGGUUAUCCCUCUGGUUUGACAGAUCCUCAGAGGAAGUACGGGCUAAGUUCGUGCCAGCAGCCGCGGUAAGACGAACCGUCCAAACGUUAUUCGGAAUUACUGGGCUUAAAGGGUACGUAGGCGGCUUGGAAAGUUGGGUGUGAAAUCCCUCGGCUCAACCGAGGAAUUGCGCCCAAAACUUCCAUGCUCGAGGGAGACAGAGGUAAGCGGAACUUAGGGUGGAGCGGUGAAAUGCGUUGAUAUCCUGGGGAACACCAGUGGCGAAGGCGGCUUACUGGGUCUCUUCUGACGCUGAGGCACGAAAGCUAGGGUAGCUAACGGGAUUAGAUCCCCCGGUAGUCCUAGCUGUAAACGAUGAGCACUUGGUCGGGGAUCCUUCCAUAGGUUCCCGGCCGUAGCGAAAGUGUUAAGUGCUCCGCCUGGGGAGUAUGGUCGCAAGGCUAAAACUCAAAGGAAUUGACGGGGGCUCACACAAGCGGUGGAGCAUGUGGCUUAAUUCGAAGCAACGCGAAGAACCUUAUCCUGGGUUUGACAUGUAUGGAUUAACUCCGUGAAAGCGGAGCCACGCCUUCGGGUGGAACAUACACAGGUGCUGCAUGGCUGUCGUCAGCUCGUGCUGUGAAGUGUCGGGUUAAGUCCCUUAACGAGCGAAACCCCUGCCGCUAGUUGCCAACAGAUAAUGCUGGGGACUCUAGCGGGACUGCCGGCGUCAAGUCGGAGGAAGGUGGGGACGACGUCAAGUCCGCAUGGCCUUUAUGCCCAGGGCUGCACACGUGCUACAAUGGCGUAUACAGAGCGACGCGAGACCGCGAGGUGGAGCAAAUCGCAAAAAGUACGCCCCAGUUCGGAUUGCAGGCUGCAACUCGCCUGCAUGAAGUUGGAAUCGCUAGUAAUCGGAGAUCAGCACGCUCCGGUGAAUACGUUCCUGAGCCUUGUACACACCGCCCGUCAAGCCACGAAAGUGGGGGGUAUCCGAAGUCGCCGAGGCAACCGCAAGGGGCUAAGCGCCGAGGAUAAACUCCGCGAUUGGGACU